GACGAACCGUCCAAACGUUAUUCGGAAUCACUGGGCUUACAGAGUUCGUAGGCGGUCUGGAAAGUUGGGUGUGAAAUCCCUCGGCUCAACCGAGGAACUGCGCUUGAAACUACCAGACUCGAGGGAGAUAGAGGAAAGCGGAACUGAUGGUGGAGCGGUGAAAUGCGUUGAUAUCAUCAGGAACACCGGUGGCGAAGGCGGCUU
rnacentral:rRNA from 1 species